CAGCCGCCACGGUAAUACGAACCGUGCGAACGUUAUUCGGAAUCACUGGGCUCAAAGCGCGUGUAGGCGGAUGGGAGCGUCGGCCUCUGAAAUCCCCCGGCUCAACCGGGGAAGUGGAGCCGAAACGACCCGUCUGGAGGGACGUAGGGGGGCCUGGAACCUCCGGUGGAGCGGUGAAAUGCGUUGAGAUCGGAAGGAACGCCCGUGGCGAAAGCGAGGUCCUGGACGUCUGCUGACGCUGAGACGCGAAAGCCAGGGGAGCGAACGGGAUUAGAUACCCGCGUAGUCCCUGUCUCUUAUU
rnacentral:rRNA from 1 species